rnacentral:rRNA from 1 species
AUGCAAGUCGAACGCAGUAGCAAUACUGAGUGGCAAACGGGUGAGUAUAAUGUGGGAAUCUGCCUUUUGGUCUGGAAUAACACGGGGAAACUUGUGCUAAUACCGGAUAAGCCCUUACGGGGAAAGUUUUAAUGCCGAAAGAUGAGCCUGCACUUGAUUAGCUAGUUGGUAAGGUAAAAGCUUACCAAGGCAACGAUCAAUAGCUGUUCUUAGAGGAAGACCAGCCACAUUGGGACUGAGACACGGCCCAGACUCCUACGGGAGGCAGCAGUGGGGAAUCUUGCACAAUGGGGGAAACCCUGAUGCAGCGAUGCCGCGUGAGUGAAGAAGGCCCUUGGGUUGUAAAACUCUUUCGUCGGGGAAGAAAAUGACUGUACCCGAAUAAGAAGGUCCGGCUAACUUCGUGCCAGCAGCCGCGGUAAUACGAAGGGACCUAGCGUAGUUCGGAAUUACUGGGCUUAAAGAGCUCGUAGGUGGUUAAAAAAGUUGAUGGUGAAAUCCCAAGGCUCAACCUUGGAACUGCCAUCAAAACUUUUUAGCUAGAGUGUGAUAGAGGUAAGUGGAAUUUCUAGUGUAGAGGUGAAAUUCGUAGAUAUUAGAAAGAACACCAAAUGCGAAGGCAACUUACUGGGUCACUACUGACACUGAGGAGCGAAAGCAUGGGUAGCGAAGAGGAUUAGAUACCCUCGUAGUCCAUGCCGUAAACGAUGUGUGCUAGACGUUGGAAAUAUAUUUUUCAGUGUCGCAGCGAAAGCAUUAAGCACACCGCCUGGGGAGUACGACCGCAAGGUUAAAACUCAAAUGAAUUGACGGGGACCCGCACAAGCAGUGGAGCAUGUGGUUUAAUUCGAAGAUACGCGCAGAACCUUACCAACACUUGACAUGUUCGUCGCGAGACUAAGAGAUUAGUCUUUUCAGUUUGGCUGGACGAAACACAGGUGCUGCAUGGCUGU